GGAAAUUCAAAUCUAUAUCUUCGGAUCACCAACACAUAGUGUAUAUGAUACAUUGUGCUUAUAAAUAUUAUUUAGAGAUGUUGAUAAAAUAUUGAUCAAUUGAAAGAAAAUAGACAAAAGAUAUGAAACAAAUUACUAAUUUGGAAUAGAUAAUUGAUAGUCCAUAUAAACAAUUCAUACCAACAUAGGCAUGUUUGAAAUAAAUUUGUUAAACUUACUCGGUCUAUGGCACAAAAGAUAUCAACAUUUUGUAAGAAAAUGGUACAAAUUAGUAAAGAGUCUUUCUGGUUCAAAUCCAAAAUAACGAAGUCAGAAAGGAAAGAAAGCUUAUAAUUAGGUGGGAACAGGAAGAAAAAAAUGGGCAGCCUAUGUCACAGAUCAAGUGGUCAGUCACAGUACAUAACAUACACGACACAUACAAUGUGAUUGGAAGAAAAUAGACAACAGAUAUGAAACAAUUAAAUCACUAAUUUGGAACAGGUAAUUGAUAAGCUAUAUAAACAAUUCAUAUCAACAUAGGCUUGUUUGAAAUAAAUUUCUUAAACUUACUCAGUCUAUGGCACGAAAGAUAUCAACACUUUGUAAGAAAAUGGUUCAAAUUAGUAAAGCGUGGGAAAGGUGGGAAGAAAUAAUUGGACAGCGCAUUUCACAGAUCAAGUGGUCACUCACUGUACACAACACCUAUAUAUAACAAAUUAACAAUACUUAUAGUAUACAAAUUCGGGACCUAUUACUAUAACGAUGCAUACAAAGGAAACAAAAGUAAAAUAGCAGGUACGGAAUACGCAGGUAAACGACAUACAAAUGAUAAAACACAUUAUACAUUAUACAAUUCCAGAUGCAUGCUUUAAUUUUGUUGGAUUUUUAAGGUUCAUGUAAAUAGAGUAAUAUUUUACCGGAGUGAAAUCAAUAUUUUGUUUCAAUUAAACUGAAGUAACUUUUCCAAUAGUUAAUGUGUAUCAUGGGUCUUGAUUUUGAAAUUUAAUUUGUUAACUACCUGUAUAUUUGGGUAGUAAUGUGUAACAAGCAAAGAAAGCUCAUGUGGAUCAGACACAUAGCGCAAAUAACCUGUCAUUAUUCUUACUAGUGUCUUAAGGUCUCACACAGCUAAUUAUUUCACUAUACGUUAUUAUACUAAUGACUCCAUCCCCUCAAUCGCUCAUUUGAAGUUCAAAUGUUUCGGAAUUUAUAUCAAAUUAAAGUUUGAAGAUUUGCCUACCUGAAAAAUGAUGUUAUUGGAUAGGUUUAACAGCAUAUAAGACCACACCUGUACUUGGAAGAAAGUAACCCUGAUAUUUACAGUGGACAGGGGAACCCCCAACUUGGGAAUUCCUGCCUUUUUACACCUGGAUUCCUACAUCUUUCUAUUUAUACCAGGAGUGUAUACAUAUGUAUUUUUGAUUUUUUAAAUCUCAAGACCCAACUGUUUAUUCUCGUAUAUUACCCAUUGCAGGUGUUAUUUAUUCAGGAAAUAGCUACAAACCAAAGAAACACAUUUCUUCACGGACUUGGUUCGGGUGAAACACCAGCUGAUUGGAUGAAGUAGUUUUGUGAUACCUGAAACAGGUGGUAGUUCGAGCGUUUGAUUGACCAGAUUUUACUCUAUAAAAUAUAAAUAUUGAUUCUCUUUUUACCCAUCUUCGCUAACCAAGGGUUACUUUACGUUAAGCUCCAUUUCAUGUAUGUGAUGAAAUGGAGCUCAGCAUAGAGUAACCCUUGGUUAGCGAAGAUGUUUUUUGACCAGAUUUUACUCUAUAGAAUAUAAAUGUUGAUACUUUUUUGACCAUGACAUGCGUUUGUUUGACAAGAUUUUACUCUAUAAAAUAUGAAUGUUGAUUCUCUUUUGACAUUGAAAUGCAAAUGGCGAUUGUAAAUUAUACGAAAAUUUAAUGACAUUCUGUACUGUAGUAGUUUAUAGCUAUCACAUACUGCUGUAUUGUAGUAGUUUAUAGCUAUCACAUACUGCUGUACUGUAGUAGUUUAUAGCUAUCACAUACUGCUGUACUGUAAUAUUUUAUAGCUAUCACAUACUGUUGUACUGUAGUAGUUUAUAGCUAUCACAUACUACUGUACUGUAGUAGUUUAU